rnacentral:rRNA from 1 species
GAACGCUAGCGUAGGCUUAACACAUGCAAGUCGAGGGGCAGCGAGAUGUAGCAAUACAUUGUCGGCGACCGGCGAAUGGGUGCGUAACACGUAUGCAACUUACCUUUUAGAGGCGAAUAACCCGAUGAAAGUCGGACUAAUACGCCAUAUGCUCCCUUAGUCACAUGAUUAAUGGAGGAAAGAUUCAUCGCUAAGAGAUAGGCCUGCGUUCCAUUAGCUAGUUGGAGAGGUAACGGCUCACCAAGGCAACGAUGGAUAGGGGGACUGAGAGGUUGACCCCCCACAUUGACACUGAGAUACGGGUCAAACUCCUACGGGAGGCAGCAGUGAGGAAUAUUGGUCAAUGGGCGAAAGCCUGAACCAGCCAAGUCGCGUGAAGGAAGACUGCCCGCAAGGGUUGUAAACUUCUUUUGUAUGGGAUUAAAGGUGUCUACGAGUAGACAGUUGCAGUUACCAUACGAAUAAGCAUCGGCUGAUCC